rnacentral:rRNA from 1 species
GACGAACGCUGGCGGCGUGCUUAACACAUGCAAGUCGAGCGGUAAGGCCCUUUCGGGGGUACACGAGCGGCGAACGGGUGAGUAACACGUGGGUGACCUGCCCUCAGCUCUGGGAUAAGCCUGGGAAACCGGGUCUAAUACUGGAUAUGACUCCAUGACGCAUGUUGUGGGGUGGAAAGCCUUGUGCAGCUGAGGAUGGGCCCGCGGCCUAUCAGCUUGUUGGUGGGGUGAUGGCCUACCAAGGCGACGACGGGUAGCCGGCCUGAGAGGCGACCGGCCACACUGGGACUGAGACACGGCCCAGACUCCUACGGGAGGCAGCAGUGGGGAAUCUUGCGCAAUGGGCGAAAAGCCUGACGCAGCGACGCCGCGUGAGGG